UCUCUUGGAAUCGAGGUUCCCUUUCUUGCUCAAAACUCUUUUGGAAAUCUCAGUUUCCUCUCAUCUUAAAUGUGAAAACAUUUACUAUUACAUAUUAUUUUAAAGAAAAUGAACUUUACUUUUACUCUUUACUCAACUUCAAAGCUUAAGUCUUAAAACAAAGUUUAAAUAUUUGUAAAAGACUUCUUAAAAUAUGGUUCAUGCCAAAUUAUGGACAUGAACAACUCAAUGCAAGGUUUUCAAUAACCAAAGAUAGAACUCAAUACUUGAAACUCAAGAACUUCAAUGAUACUACUCAUUUCAAGAAUGAUCAACUCAGAGGGUUCAUGCAGAAUUAUGAGCAUGAACUACUCAACUCAAGGAUCAAAGAUACUUCUUAUCUCAAGAUUGUUUGACUUAUAGAGUUCAUGCGGAAUUAUGGACAUGAAUAACCCAACUUAAACUUCAUGGGUAACAUGUAAUAGUCCCAUGAUUAAGAAUGUAAUCUCAAAUGGGUUAGAAACUCACUACUUAAGACUUAGGACAUGAGGAUACUACUCCUUCCAAAGAUACUAAACUGAUGAUGUUCAUGCGGAAGUUAUGGGCAUGAAUAACUCGACUCAAGGGUCAAAAUAUCAAUAUGGAACUCCCGUAUACGACUCUUCUCAUUGUCUUACUUACUUCCUCAAAACCUAGUUCAAAUCAAUAGUUGAUCUCAAAGGAUUCACAAUCGAACUCAAAGGCUUUCUUGAACUCUACUCUUGACUCUCUCUUGAAUGUGAAUUAUGAAUUCAAGAGUUAUGGUUCAUGCUAUGAAAGGUCUCAUGAUGACCAAGUAGACUCAUGAAUAAAUUCUCUUCAUUCUCAUGCUCACUUACUCGAAUCUUGAAACAAGUUACUAGAAGUUGUAGAAGACUCCACUAAAGGACUCAAAGGGACUUUCUUAGAAUGUUUAAAAAAACUCUCAAGACUUAACUCUAAACUCUACCUUGAAUUUUAAUUAUGAAUUGAAGUUUAUGAUCAAUUUAGGAAUGAUUUUAGGUGUUUAGAAGUAGCUUAUAGUAGUUAGAAUAGAAAAGGAAUGAAGGUGCACUUUAAACGAACUCAAACGGAGAAACCGAAGACAAACUGGAUGGGGCAGGCGACCCUGGCGCUCUGAGUGGCGAGGGGCGUCAGCCCCUAAACUUCAGAGGAGGGUUUGGGGCACUCUGGCUGGCGCAUCGCACUAGGCCCCAACCCAGAAAACUCGACGAAAUUCUUUGCUCAUUUUCUCACCCUCUUUCGCCUAGAAUCGAACGGUUUCUUCCCCAAUCACUUAGAAUUGAUUACUUAACAUAAGUACACUCUAACUACUCAAUACAUCCCUUAAAGCACUAACUUUGAUAUCAAGAAAUCAUCAAAAACCCAACACAACAUGAUUUAGAAAGAACUUCAAGAACACCUAUCAAGAACUCAUCAAGAACUCUAAUCUUUCAACUUUAUGAAUGAAAUUUCACUGAAAAUAAUAUGAUUGUCAUAUGGGUGAUCAAACCCAAUACAAUGGAAACUCACAUACCUCUUAGGGGUUAAACCCAUGGCGAAAAUCCGCAACAAGACGCAAGAAUCUCAACGAACGCUUGAUCCUAUCCUUUUUUCUCCUCUUUUCUCUUCUUCUUCUCUUCUUGAACUCUCAACUAAAACCCUAUGCUAAUUUUAGGAUUAUAAAAUUUAACCUAAUAGGAUUAGACCCUUAAAAAUAUUACUAAUGAAGACUUAAAUCUGUUUUGAUAAGGAAAAGACUAAAAUACCCCUUACUAUUUUCGGCUAAAUUUCCUUAACUAGACAGCCUAACUUCAAAAGGUCGUAUCUCACUCAUCUGACCUCAAACUUAUCAAACUUGGCGGUGUUGGAAAGAUAAUUCAAAGAUAUUUCCUACGGUAUCUGGUAUCACACCUAAAUCAUCAUGAUAUAUGAGUUAUGAUUGUUUGAAGUCGACCCAAAACUCAUACUUAGCUUAACUUGCAAAAUUUCAGAUUUUGCUAUUUCCAAUUUAAUUCUUUUUUGGAACUCAAGGUGAUACAUCUAGUGACCUUAACACUUAAGAAAUUUUUAAUUCCUCGGUAAAAUCUUACUCACUAUGAAGAACGGUUCGAGUCUUAGUUUGAAAAUUUUUCUAGGGUGUUACAAUAUAUCCCCCUUGGAAUCAUUUGUCCUCGAAUGACGACUGGACUGGGUAUGGAACGAGGUUACUCUUACUAAGGUUUGAGUAUAAUGGUAUACUCUUAUUAUAUUCAAUCUUAACCCAAUUCUUUAGGUUCGGGUUCUACACCUCUCUAUAGGGAAUCUCAUCCCAAGGCUAUUACUCUUUACCACCACAUUGGAGCUUAGUACUCUAGCAACUCCAUGGAUUCCUACUAACAAACUUCUUCAAAGCCAACUAAGGGCUCUCAUUUAUAUAUUUAUCAUAGUAAAAACUCAUUCUAAUCUUCAUCCUUAUUCACAACCUUAGAUGGAACUAUCACACCAUCAUCAUCACGAUAGGAUCAUUAACCUUCUCUUUCUAACAUCACUACAUUACUAAAAGGACCUAUGAAAAGAUCUCUACCAUAACCUUUGGAACUCAUUACUAUAUUAUUCUCAACACUUGACUUGAUUUCCCAUCGUAUCAUCUCCCCCUUAGGUCUAAAGCUAACAGUUGAAAGCUAUGGACAUAUUACAUCAUCUCUAAAUGGUCUACCGCUUCUUUUAAUCUAACACUUGGGAGAAUUUUAUAUCAUGACUACCAAGCUCUCAUUAAGCAAGUACUAAGACCUCUUUCUAAGGUGUUUCUCUUAACCUCUUCUAAUUAUAUACCCUCUUGGUACACCUCUUACUUCUCUCGUUACUCUUGUGACAUAGCCACACUUCACUGCCCUUAUCUAAAGGUUAGGGUCUCCUACUUGUACUACUCACAUUCAUUGCAGCAACAUAUCAAUUCCUCACCUACUCUAUGUCAAGUCUACUAGAUCAAAUCUAAAGACUAACAUCAUCACACUCAUGUUGCCAUUCCUUUUAUCAUGACACUUAUCUCAAAUUCAAGCUUAAUGUUUAUGACUAAACCCAAAUAUUAAUAUGAUUGCUCGCUUACUAUACUAACUUACAACUACUAGAUACAAAUCCAUAAGCACUCGUCUACUAGGAUCUUAUAACAAAUAGUCAAUCGUCACCUCUUAGCCUUCAUACUUACAAUUACAAUCACCUUUGAUUUCGCAAAAUAAGUACUAUUCACUCAUUCACUAUAUAUCAGUGCCUAAUUAGUUCUAUUACACUUUGAAUAUUAUGGGCUCUCCCUCAAAAAUCAUAAGCCUAGCUUAGAUCUAUAACCUCAUGAAUACUCUUUCUCUUUUAUUCACCACUUACACGUAGUCAUUUCCUACACAAUGACACUUCAUCACCAACUCCUUUCAAGCUACAACACACUCUACCUCCUAUGAUGGAAUCUUCACAACUCAUCACUUCUUAGUCUACCCAUAAGGGAAAACUCCUCAUUACUAACUUACUAAGUACAUGACUAUAGUAACAUAGCUUAUCAUAACACCAUCUCCCUUACUUAGAUUACUAAACCUCUACAUACUUUCCUCUAACUGUGGGCUCUUUUACUACUAUUGAUCAUGAUCUCAUAACUCAUGUUACCCUUCAGGGUGAAAAUACUACCCAAGCUCUAAACAUACUUCCUCAUAAGGAUCUCAACUGAAACAAGGCUUAAGGAAAAGAGUACAACUCACUUGUAGCUCAAACGCACAAUUCAAAUGAAUAGCAUUCCUCUGAAACUGAACACUUAACUUACUUUCGGACUUCUCUUAGGCCCCUUUGGAGUCUCAUUACUUCCUCAAAACUCUUGCUAAGAACAAUUCAUCGACAAAGAACUGACUCUUCUUUUCAACCACCUCUAGUAUGAUGGGUAGUCGAACGAUUCUGAGAAACGCACGAGUUAGAAUAAGUCUCUAUGACAUAUCUCUAUUGCACGAUUAAGAGGCUCACCAUACCUAACUCGAACUCUUAGAUGUAUCAACGAAAUUCCUGUUGAUGAUCCUAAAUACCUGUGUCUGCAUCAAUAGAAGAUGCAAGACAAACGGCUCAGUACGUGGAAUGUACGAGCAUGUAAAGGGAAUUCUAAAACAUAAACCUAAGCUUGAACUUGAUAAAAUGUGGAAACAUACUUACCUCCUUUCAAACUUACUCCACUCAAGGAAUAAUAAAGGAUACUCAAAACUACUCAACUUACUCAACUCAGAAGUACUCAAGGAUAAGAUACUCAACUCACAGAUUAGAUACUCAACUCAAAGAUAUGAUACUCGACUCUGGGUACUCAACUCAAUAUAAAGCACUAAUAUACAUGCAAUAUAUGGAAAGCUUUAUAAACAGUAAAAACAACUUAGUUCGUUAAAGAAAAUGCAAUAACAAACUUAACUUUACUUAUACAAUAAAGUAAUAUAUUUUAUGUGGGAGAUUCUCUAACCGACAACCACCACUAUGAGCCUAAGUGAUGAUACGGCGUCUUGCCCACGCUGCCUGAACUGUUAUAUACUUUGUCGUUAUAUAGAACGCUUAAUUUAGUGGAUCCACUAGCUUAACUUAUGUGAUCAUGUAAAAAGUAUGACCUAUUAAUACCCAUGAUGGCUACAUGGUUUAUGGAUUUUUGAGUUAAUGUAAACUCGCAUCCCCAUAUCGAUGCUCAAUACUACUCCCAAAAAUAUACUUAGCUCAUAUGUUUUUAAAACAACUUUUUUCUUUGUUUUGAGAUAAUUACUCAAAACUUAGCUUAAAAGCUAUCUUGGAAUUGAGGUUCCCUUUCUUGCUCAAAACUCUUUUGGAAAUCUCAGUUUCCUCUCAUCUUAAAUGUGAAAACAUUUACUUUUGGGAUUACUUAGUUCCCAUAUAUCAUUUUAAAGAAAAUGAACUUUACUCUUACUCUUUACUCAACUUCAAAGCUUAAGUCUUAAAACAAAGUUUAAAUAUUUGUAAAAGACUUCUUAAAAUAU
rnacentral:lncRNA from 1 species